AUACGGAGGGUGCAAGCGUUACUCGGAAUCACUGGGCGUAAAGCGCGCGCAGGCGGGCUGAUAAGUUGGAUGUGAAAGCCUACGGCUCAACCGUAGAACUGCAUCCAAAACUGUCAGUCUAGAGUCUGGGAGGGGAAGAUGGAAUUAGUUGUGUAGGGGUAAAGUCCGUAGAGAUAACUAGGAAUACCAAAAGCGAAGGCGAUCUUCUGGAACAGUACUGACGCUGAGGCGCGAAAGCGUGGGGAGCAAACAGGAUUAGAUACCCUAGUAGUCC
rnacentral:rRNA from 1 species